rnacentral:tRNA from 4 species
CAGAAGAUAGUUUAGUUUAGAAUUCUGGCUUUGGGAGCCAGGGGUGGGAGUUAAAAUCUCUCUCUUCUGG